ACGGGUGAGUAACGCGUGGGAAUCUACCCUUUGGUUCGGGAUAGCUCCGGGAAACUGGAAUUAAUACCGUAUGUGCCCUGAGGGGCAAAGAUUUAUCGCCAAAGGAUGAGCCCGCGUUGGAUUAGCUAGUUGGUGGGGUAAAGGCCUACCAAGGCGACGAUCCAUAGCUGGUCUAAGAGGAUGAUCAGCCACAUUGGGACUGAGACACGGCCCAAACUCCUACGGGAGGCAGCAGUGGGGAAUAUUGGACAAUGGGCGCAAGCCUGAUCCAGCCAUGCCGCGUGAGUGAUGAAGGUCUUAGGAUUGUAAAGCUCUUUCACCGGGGACGAUAAUGACGGUACCCGGAGAAGAAGCCCCGGCUAACUUCGUGCCAGCAGCCGCGGUAAUACGAAGGGGGCUAGCGUUGUUCGGAAUUACUGGGCGUAAAGCGCACGUAGGCGGACAUUUAAGUCAGGGGUGAAAUCCCGGGGCUCAACCCCGGAACGGCCUUUGAUACUGGGUGUCUUGAGUUCGGAAGAGGUGAGUGGAAUUGCGAGUGUAGAGGUGAAAUUCGUAGA
rnacentral:rRNA from 1 species